AACCAAAAAAAAAAAAAACUGUUGGCAGGUCCUAAAGUUAAUGAUCUUGUGAGACAGGCAGUAGUGACAACAACAACAGGAACAAAACUUGGUCGUGCAACAUCUUGUGGAUAACUAUUAUGGUUAUUUGAAGAAAUUCAACCCAAUGGUGAUGUGAUUAUAAAAUACAUACAUGAAAUACUGGUUUUCAACUUGGAGGAAUUGCCUUGAAGAGGCAGAUAAUUUUUCACAUUAUAUGGCCAUGAGCGCAUAGGCAGUUGAAAAGUUUCAUUAGUUGGAGCUUUCAACAAUAUGCUAGUUCUCUGUGAAUCUUCAUUUUCUGGGCAGCCAGUUGUGAUGCUAUAUUUAGAUGCACCAAACUGAAGUGAUAAUUUUUUUUGCCUUUCCUGUCCUAAGUACUGGCUACUGCUUUUCAUGUUUUACCAUAAAAUGUAUUUGCUUUCAUUGCAUGUAUAUCAAGUUCUGAGGCUUAUCAAAAGUGAUUGAAGUAGGCUUCCAGUGGCAAAGAAGCUAUGCUUUCAUCGGGUUCUGUUUUGAGUGAUGAACUGUGGUUGCAUGUAAAUGAGCAUUUGUAGUUUUAACCUUAUAUAAUAAACCUUAAGCUGUUAUGCAUAGUUUUAAAAUCCCACAGAAGGUUAUAGUGGGUUUUUGGCUCAGAUUCUCAGGUUUCAUUCUUUGAAACUUUUUAAUUGUAACUUAUCAUUGUAUAAUUUUGCUUUCAAAUUAUUUGCAGAUCCUUCCAGCACUACCGUACUAUCUUGCAAAGCAUGACCAGGAAACAGUGGGAUCUACUGGCAUAAACUCUUUAAGAAUGCUUGCACUCCUUGGGGCUGGUAUUACAGGGAUUUUGAGUUGUGCCACUGUAGCUGCUUGUUCUGAUGAGGCAGAACACGGCUUGGAAUGCCCUAACUAUCCAUGGCCUCACAAAGGCAUACUCAGUUCAUAUGACCAUGCUUCGUGAGUACUGAGUAGUAUGAUUUUACCAUCUUUUGCCAUAGAAAUUAUGUUUGGGCUCACUAUUCCACUUAAUGCUUAACGGCUUUAACUUCAGUCAAGUCAUAUGCAUAAAUGUCUUUUCCACGACUACUGGUUGUCCUUCUUUUGUUUACAUAUGCCUACAAUGCCUUCAAUGUGAACCGUGAUACUGACCUACUAUUUCUAGAAUACAUGUGAUUUUUCUAUAAACUUGGGACAUUUUUUUCUGCUCUUAAUUUCUAUUUUUUAACGGAGGGAAAAAAAUCUUGAACCUGGUUUGGAUUUCCUGUUCUGUUUUUACUUUCUUUUAUUGUUUGCUGGCAUUGGUUUCAUAUCCACAGUAGUAGAAAGGCCUUAUCCAAAUAAUUUGGGAUAUUAAAUUUUUUGCCCCAGAACAUAGAUUUGUUGCUGUUUGUAGAUAAAAUUGAAGUGGUUAAUGGGGUAAUUUUCAUGGCAGGAUCCGCCGUGGCCACCAAGUUUA
rnacentral:misc_RNA from 1 species